GACUGGUCUGAUGGUAGUGGGUUAAUCGGAAAUUAUUAACAUUAGUAUCACUGAAGUUGGUAUACAGCCACCACUCAUCAAUUUGACUGGCUUAA
rnacentral:Y_RNA from 1 species